rnacentral:rRNA from 1 species
UGGGGAAUAUUGCACAAUGGGCGCAAGCCUGAUGCAGCCAUGCCGCGUGUAUGAAGAAGGCCUUCGGGUUGUAAAGUACUUUCAGCGAGGAGGAAGGCGUUGUGGUUAAUAACCGCAGCGAUUGACGUUACUCGCAGAAGAAGCACCGGCUAACUCCGUGCCAGCAGCCGCGGUAAUACGGAGGGUGCAAGCGUUAAUCGGAAUUACUGGGUGUAAAGCGCACGCAGGCGGUCUGGCAAGUCGGAUGUGAAAUCCCCGGGCUCAACCUGGGAACUGCAUCCGAAACGGGCAGGCUAGAGUCUUGUAGAGGGGGGUAGAAUUCCAGGUGUAGCGGUGAAAUGCGUAGAGAUCUGGAGGAAUACCGGUGGCGAAGGCGGCCCCCUGGACAAAGACUGACGCUCAGGUGCGAAAGCGUGGGGAGCAAACA